AGGACUCUCUAUGAACCACCACAGGCAUCAACUAUUUCCUAUAAAUUAUUACGACAAACCCCCAGAAAUGGGGAUCGAUUUCCUGAUAUCUAGAAUCAUUUGUGAUUUCUCUAACUUAGGCAUUAGAGAGUCUCCCGUUAGAAUGAUCCGGCUCUCCCUUGUCUGUUUUUCUAUGCAGGUCUAGCGUGGAAGAACACUAGGACGAUUUUUGCUGCAACAGGUCGAUUCUACUAACUCUAUUGGAUUGUCCAACAUGUUUUCAUGCUCUUCUGUUUACCAGCACUGGUGGUGAUUUUUUUUGGAAAAUGGAACUCUACCCCAAAUUUAAGAUCUUUUUUCUGGAGACUUGUCCAUGAUGGCAUUCCUACCAAGGAUAUUUUAAGGAAAUGGAUGGACAUUGAUUAUACUUAUGAUCUCUGUCAUUCCAGUUGUGAAACUUUUUGAAAUCAAAUUGUCCACUCCAAGGCAAAACCAAAUUUUGUGACCAUCGUUGCCAACAUAAACAGAUGGAUAUCAGUUUUCCUUGACAUCGGCAUGAGCUUCGACUCUUCGGACUCUAUUCAAUCCAUGGAAGUUUUAUUAAACAACCCCCAUUCCCACCCUUUUUUACCUCACUAUUUUGAUUUGUAUAGGUGUUCCCAAUAGAGCAGAAAAUUGCUCCAAACGGGCUUGCAGUGUAUUUUUUAGAGAAUUUUUUUUAUUAUGUGUAGAUUAUUUGAUGGCA